AUAUCCGGGCCUCAUCUGGGCCAACUAUGGCACAUCUGGCUCAGUUCUGGCAGCAGCAGAGGUUAUAUGGGCCAUCUCUGGCCCACACACAUCAAGCCGGUUUUAGUUUGAGUCGUGGCUUGCUGUGUGUGGGCCAGAUCUGGCCCGUGUGCGACAAACCGGCUUUAAUUUGAGUAGUGGCUUGCUGUUUCUGGGCCAGAUCUGGCCCGUGUGUGACAAACCGGCUUUAAUUUGAGUCGUGGCUUGCUGUGUGUGGGCCAGAUCUGGCCCGUGUGCGACAAACCGGGUUUAAUUUGAGUCGUGGCUUGCUGUGUGUGGGCCAGAUCUGGCCCGUGUGUGACAAACCGGCUUUAAUUUGAGUCGUGGCUUGCUGUGUGUGGGCCAGAUCUGGCCUGUGUGUGACAAGCCGGUUUUAGGUUGAGUUCUGGCUUGUUGUAUGUGGGCAAGAUAUGGCCUAUACCAGGUGACCAGAUGUGCCAUUUUCUGAAGACACGUCCUGGCAGAUCACCUUACUUUACCGGUCAGUGGUUCUAAAACUAUUUUGAGUACUGGACGCCCAUAAUAUUUUAGGACACGUAAUAUAAAUACAUACACACAUUUAUUUGACCUAAACGGACCUGUUAUGAAGCUGCAAUGUUAUUCUAUUUUUUUACAUUUUUGUACCAUGUCCUCUGGUGUGACACCAUGUCCUUUGAACUUUUUCGGAACCACUACAAAUUAUUUAUGCUCUCUUGUGCAUUAAUAUGACACCCCUAAAUUAUAUAUAUGUUUUUUAUUAAAAAGUGCAUGUUAAGCUACAUAAUCCUAGAAAAGUUUGCAAAUGUGUCUUGCUUGCCACUAAUGACAGGUUAGCUUGGAAUAGCAAGGUCAUUAAUUGACAGAAAAGGCUGAAACGUCCUUUGGUGUAAAAAAAAAAAAAAGUCCUCCAUUGUGACACCUGUACUGUCACACCACAGGACAAAGUUUAUUUAAAAAUAAUUUUAAAUAAUUAAAUAAUAUUUGUUUAACUCCUUUUUUAUACUUUUAAAUGCAAUAAUUACAUUCAUUAAAUUAAGCUCUAAUCAUCAAAAAAAAUAUGAAUCUUUAGAAUAUAUGAAAUAUAUGAAAAUUUCACUUUUUAAUAAAAAAAGUUACAAAAAAUUAACUUUUUUCAUGAUAUUCACAUUUCUUCAAGAUGCACCUUAUACACACACACACACACACACACACACACACACACACAUACAUACAUAUAUGAGUGUUCGUAAAAGCAACAAUACAAAAUCUUAAACUAUAAAAGUGCCACUUUGUCCCACUAUUAUGUGCAGGCCUGGCAUUUUGCACUGGGCUAUAGAACUACAAAAUUAAUUUUAAAUUAGCAAUAUCAUAACUGAAUGACAUUUUGAAUUAUGUAGUGAUCUAAUUCUAUUCACCAAACAAUUGUAUGUGAAUGUGUGAGACUUAUGGUCAUGGUUAUAGGGAAAUAAUGAAGAACAAAGUGCAGUAAACGGUAAAACUGUUUGCACUACAAACCAGUACGUUCAUAAUUAAGACAAUACAUUAAAAAUAACAUGGUGAGAUACAGCAGUUUGCAACAGUAAACAGCAAAACAAGCUGUUUGUACAGCUAAUAUAGCUGGAAUGACACCGAAAGCCAGACACAUUAAAUUUACAAAUGGCCGCGCCCCCUCUUACAGAAAAAAAAUAAGGGGCAUAUAUGUUUAUUCAUAUUUUUAUUUAUGUAAAGUAAGCGUGUGACUUUUAAUUCGUGACGUGCUUUCAUGGGCGUGCGCGCGGACCGGAUGGAGUUGCCAUGGAAACGGAGCGCAACACUGCAAAUGUCACGAGGAAACACCCCGUUUCUCGCUGAUUUCACUGUUUUCAGGAAUGGUUUAAUGUCUUCGAAAAAGUCCGUUAGCAUUUCUACCGUUUUCAGACGACGUAUGGUCAGGUAUGAUAACUCUAUUGUGCUCUUAUUUAUGAAAGUUUGGGCUUUUAAUCAAAGCUUCAUCUGUAGAUGAUAGCUUUUGACUGUUUUGUUGGUAAUCUUUCAAUGGAUGAUUGGAAAUUGCUUAAUUUAUUUAAUCUUAACAUUUACACUUUACUGUUUAUCGAUGACGUCACGUUAUCAAGGAGCGCGAAAAUUGGCAAAAAACUAAAGUUGUUUUGAUCUUCUAUGGGAAACAUAAAACUGUUCUGCGAUUUCAAGAGUGACAAAAUAAACCUUCUACAACAGGAGGGAGUUUCCAAGAUUUCAAUAUUUCUGAAGGGAGCUGCUGACAGAGAUGUAGGAAGCGCUGAAAAGAUUCUUCAGUGCUGAUGGCCUGCUGCAUCCAGCAGAGUCGGAGUGAACCUACUGUAAGACAACAUCUCCAAGAUGCUAUUGACCACAAGACUAGUACAGGUUAUUAGAAACUGCACAGCGCAGGACUUGCAGGACUUGUGAGGACUUCAGAUGAUACCAGUACUCAAAAGACCUUAGAUGAUGGCAACUAUAGAUGGACAUACAAACUACCGCCACUGCAAAAAAGAUUCUAAUUUGAAAGAAGUUUAUAAUGCAUGUUCGCUACUCCCAAUUCAGAAGACUGAAUCAGCCUGUGUAUCUGAAUGUUUCUCAUACUCACUCCUCUCUGCCGCGUCUGAAUUUGGGAUUUUCCUUAGCUGUCAGUUAUAAACGUCAAAAUUAAAAGAAAUAAACAUUUGAAAUAUAUCAGUCUGUGUGGAAUGAAUAAAUAUAAUAUACAAGUUUCACUUUUUGAAUGGAAUUAGUGAAAUAAAUCAACUUUUUGAUGAUAUUCUAAUUAUAUGACCAGCACCUGUAUAUCAUUGCUCUUUUGUUGAUUUUGAUUGCUUCCAUUGUCCUCAUUUGUAAGUUGCUUUGGAUAAAAGUGUCUGCUAAAUGUAAAUGUAAUGUUAAUGUGUAUUUAACUAUAUUUUUAAAUAUUUAUCUGUAUUUUUUAUUUUGUAAUAAUGUAAAUGUAUGUGUUUUAUAUCUAUACAUGCAGUUGUAUUCAUGUAUGUAUAUUGAUUUGUCUAAUUUUUAUAUUUUAA